rnacentral:lncRNA from 1 species
AUGCAUCUCAAGGUUGAAUUGAGAUCUUCAUCUGGGGCAGCCACAGGCAGAAGUAUGGAAUCUGCUUCCAUCUUCCAAAGCGAGUGUGUUUCUGUUGGGCGGACACCAAGCACGGGCAACUUCAGCCUGAAGCAAUUACCCUGUGCAAGUUUCAGUGAGUGGAAACAGGCGUGGAGUUCUAUGGACCUUGCUACCUGGAUCAAUAACUUUUGCUAGUCAAGUUUCCUGCCAAGGAAAGGAGAGGAGGCUCGAAUUUCAUAGACUGGAAACUGCCUGCACCCAUGUGCGGGA